GAAUAUGGAUUUCCUUCCACUGCUGGAGACAUGACUUAUAUUGACUAUUUGUUUCUGGGUGAUUACGUUGAUCGAGGACAGCACAGCUUGGAGACAAUCACUUUACUCCUAGCUCUAAAGAUUGAAUAUCCAGACAAUGUUCAUUUAAUAAGGGGGAAUCAUGAAGCUGCUGAUAUCAAUGCACUUUUUGGCUUCCGUAUUGAAUGCAUUGAGAGAAUGGGAG
rnacentral:misc_RNA from 1 species